GAUGAACGCUGGCGGCGUGCCUAAUACAUGCAAGUCGAGCGAACGGAGGAGAAGCUUGCUUCUCUGAUGUUAGCGACGGACGGGUGAGUAACACGUGGAUAACCUACCUAUAAGACUGGGAUAACUGCGGUAAACCGGAGCUAAGACCGGAUUAUAUUUUGAACCGCAUGGUUCAAGAGUGAAAGACGGUCUUGCUGUCACUUAUAGAUGGAUCCGCGCUGCAUUAGCUAGUUGGUAAGGUAACGGCUUACCAAGGCAACGAUGCAUAGCCGAACUGAGAGGGUGAGCGGCCACACUGGAACUGAGACACGGUCCAGACUCCUACGGGAGGCAGCAGUAGGGAAUCUUCCGCAAUGGGCGAAAGCCUGACGGAGCAGCGCCGCGUGAGUGAUGAAGGUCUUCGGCUCGUAAAACUCUGUUAUUAGGGAAGAACAUAUGUGUAAGUACCUGUGCACAUCUUGACGGUACCUAAUCAGAAAGCCACGGCUAACUACGUG
rnacentral:rRNA from 1 species